rnacentral:rRNA from 1 species
AGCAGUCGCCGCGGUAAUACGUAGGGUGCGAGCGUUAAUCGGAAUUACUGGGCGCAAAGCGGGCGCAGACGGUUACUUAAGCAGGAUGUGAAAUCCCCGGGCUCAACCUGGGAACUGCGUUCUGAACUGGGUGACUAGAGUGUGUCAGAGGGAGGUAGAAUUCCACGUGUAGCAGUGAAAUGCGUAGAGAUGUGGAGGAAUACCGAUGGCGAAGGCAGCCUCCUGGGAUAACACUGACGUUCAUGCCCGAAAGCGUGGGUAGCAAACAGGAUUAGAUACCCGCGUAGUCCCUGUCUCUUAUAC